rfam:Toxocara canis scaffold1204, whole genome shotgun sequence.
GCCGCCAUAGCUCAGUCGGUGAGAGCGUGGGUCUAAUAAGCCCAAGGACGCAGGUGCGACCCCUGCUGGCAGCA